ACACAGAAACUGAGGAUGAACAGGAAGAUGUAAUUGGUUAAGAUAAGAUCAUACUGGAUGUGGAUGGGUCCUAGAUCUGACUGCUGAUAUCCUUAUAAGAAGAAGAAAGGACACGCGGAGACUACAGUGAUGUUGCCACAAGCCAAGAAAUGCCAAGAAUUUCGGGAGCCACCAGAAGAUGGAAGAGGCAGGGAAAAAUCCUCCCCUAAAGCCUUCAGAGAGAGCAUAGCUCUGCCAACACCUUGAUUCUGGACAUCUAGCCUCUUAAACUUCCUCAGGUGUCUCAUUUCUUCUGUCUCAGAAGUCAUGGAUGUCAAUGAAGAUAUGGAAUUCACUUAUUCAUUCUUAUAAAUAUUACUUAGUGUCCUUGUGCUUGGCACUGUGCUUGGUCAUUGAGAUCUACUGUUCAAAAGCAAGAUAACAUACAGGCUGGAAUAGCGAGAUGCAAGAAUCCCAAGCCUUCAAAGCCAGCUCCUGCAGAAGAGAGAGGGCCUGGCAGCUGAGCUGGAUGCUUCAGGAGCAGAGGAUCUAUCAACUGCAGACCAAGCACAGGGAGACGCAGGCAAACCUGGAACAGUAACCCAGCCAGCUCCAAUUGCUCCGACAGUACUUGGUGGCCAGAGAGUCGGCAGCAGAAAGCAUGCCCCGGGCCGUGAAGCAGGAAAUCGACUCUGACUCAAUCCUUGAGGUCUGUAUUACAUCUGGGAGUACAACUUGAAGGGCCCCACACUCUUGUUUCUCAGCACCUCAUAAAUCUAAGCCCACGUGAAGUGAACAGAGCAUCCCUUCUUCAAGAGAAUGGAAAAAGAAAGGAUGCUGAGGAGGAACUGUUGGGGGCAGAGCCCUUGAAGCCAGCUGGCAAGACUGAGACCACUGAUCAAUGCUUUGCCCACUGAAAGGACAACCUUAUAAAGAAUUGGAACCAUUAAGCUUUAAUUUUUAGAAAUUUGGAUGCUAGAGGGAAUGGUCUUUAGGGACCGCUGCGGUCCCUAAACCCAUCAUCUGCUCUGGUGCCAGGAUACAAAUCUGUUCGCCCUGAAUCCUUCAUCUGCUUGGAUGUCCAGGAUACAAUCUUUUCAGUUUGGGAACUUCUGACUGUUUUUCUCAGGUGUCUGCCUUGCUUCAAUGCUUAUAUCUUGAACAUUGUGUCUUUACGUGUCUGCCUUCGGCAGGUUUCAUUAAUUUGUAAUUUAUGCCUACAAAAUUGUUUAAGCACUUCUGGAUCUUACACUGGUCAAGGGUGUGUAUUAGUGGGUGUGUGUGCACUAUACAGACUGUGGGGCAGAAUCUACUGGGUUUUGUUUUUCCUGAUUUUAAAAUGUUUAGUCAUUCUGAUCCAUACGUGUGAGUUAAUAAGUGUGUGUCUCUGUAUCUUGGUGCAAGUGUCUGUACUCGGGAAGCAGUGAACACAAGCAGUUUAGAAUAGUAUUCCACAUUUCUCUACCAUUUGCAUUAACUGUGUCUUUCCAAAAUGCAUAUUCAGCUUCAUUUUUUUUUUUUAUUCAGAGGUGGUAGUUUUCAAACUCAAAUCUAGCUCAUUUGUCUCUUUUAGCACAUGAUUGAGGAUUAGGGACUAUUCUAACUGGCAGUCAAGGGUCAGUAUUUUGGACUCCAUUUGGCUUAGAUAAUUUAUAUAGAAUAAAAGUCUAACAGGUAUAAUCACAAUAGCCUUGGCUUAAUAAUUUUCCAAGCAUACUUGAAGUUGAAAAACACUUCAAACUAAAAUUGGAAGAAUGUUCUGGUUAGUAAGUUGUAUGCUUCUGUAAUAAUGGAGAGAAUUGGAAUGCAGUUCUCUUUGUUUGAUUUAUAUGGCAACACCAAGAAUGUGAGACGUGUGUUUUACUGUAGAAAUAAACUUUCAACAUUGACCUAGAGAACAGAAGACUCAGGUUGGUACUUAAAUCCUGCUCUGCUAGGUUAUAAUGAAAAGCAUCUUAAUAAGAAUAGAUUUUUUAGGAAGAAAAAUCUUAAGAUUCAUGUCUUUCUCUCAUUGUUUGCAAUAUUUGUCAACAUUUGCUUGCAUGAUUCCUACGAAGAACAAGCUUAUUUGGAGAAAGUGAUCUAAAUUUUAGAAUUGAAUGUACUCCACUAAUUAAAUGUGUAUGUCCUUGUGAUCUUAGUGCCACUAAAUCUAAAUAGCACAUACGUAAAUUCACUGCUGUCUUAUGCUACAAGUCAUAUUUGAAAGCUUGUUGCCAGCCCUAAGAAAGUGAUUUUAUUAUGGAGUUAUCUAAUGGCUUCAGAUAACACGUUUCAUUGUCUACAGUCUUG
rnacentral:lncRNA from 1 species